rnacentral:tRNA from 1 species
GGCCGCUUAGCUCAGGCAGUUGAGCUUGGUGCUCACAACGCCAAGGUCGUGGGUUCGAUUCCCGCUCGGUCC